AAUGUACGCUGGCGGCACGCCUAACACAUGCAAGUCGAGCGAGGUACUUGUACCUAGCGGCAGACGGGUGCGUAACAUGUGGGAAUCUGCCUUUUGGUUCGGAACAACAUGGGGAAACCUGUGCUAAUACCGGAUAAGUCCUUACGGAGAAAGAUUUAUCGCCAAAAGAUGAGCCCGCACUAGAUUAGCUUGUUGGUAAGGUAAAAGCUUACCAAGGCAACGAUCUAUAGCUGAUUUUGAGAGGAUGAUCAGCCACACUGGGACUGAGACACGGCCCAGACUCCUACGGGAGGCAGCAGUGGGGGAAUCUUGCACAAUGGAGGAAACUCUGAUGCAGCGAUGCCGCGUGAGUGAAGAAGGCCUUUGGGUUGUAAAGCUCUUUUGUCGGGAAAGAUAAUGACUGUACCCGAGAAUAAGGUCCGGCUAACUUCGUGCCAGCAGCCGCGGUAAU
rnacentral:rRNA from 1 species